rnacentral:rRNA from 1 species
UACGUAGGUGGCAAGCGUUGUCCGGAAUUAUUGGGCGUAAAGCGCGCGCAGGCGGUCUCUUAAGUCUGAUGUGAAAGCCCACGGCUCAACCGUGGAGGGUCAUUGGAAACUGGGGGACUUGAGUACAGAAGAGAAGAGUGGAAUUCCACGUGUAGCGGUGAAAUGCGUAGAGAUGUGGAGGAACACCAGUGGCGAAGGCGACUCUUUGGUCUGUAACUGACGCUGAGGCGCGAAAGCGUGGGGAGCAAACAGG